UACGGGGGGGGCAAGCGUUGUUCGGAAUUACUGGGCGUAAAGGGCUCGUAGGUGGCCAACUAAGUCAGACGUGAAAUCCCCAGGCUCAACUUGGGAACUGCGUCUGAUACUGGUUGGCUUGAGUGCAGGAGAGGAACGUGGAAUUCCAGGUGUAGCGGUGAAAUGCGUAGAUAUCUGGAGGAACACCGGUGGCGAAGGCGGCGUUCUGGACUGCAUCUGACACUGAGGAACGAAAGCCAGGGGAGCAAACGGG
rnacentral:rRNA from 1 species